rnacentral:rRNA from 1 species
UACGAAGGGGGCUAGCGUUGCUCGGAAUUACUGGGCGUAAAGCGCACGUAGGCGGCCUCUUAAGUCGGUGGUGAAAUCCUGGAGCUCAACUCCAGAACUGCCUUCGAUACUGGGAAGCUCGAGUCCGGGAGAGGUGAGUGGAACUGCGAGUGUAGAGGUGAAAUUCGUAGAUAUUCGCAAGAACACCAGCGGCGAAGGCGGCGCUCUGGGCCGGUACUGACGCUGAGGAGCGAAAGCGUGGGGAGCAAACAGG